rnacentral:tRNA from 1 species
UGAGAUGCAAAUAUAGCUGGCUACCUGCGUCUACCGUAGCGCGGUGACGGACGCGGGUUCAAUUCCCGCCGUCUCAA